CUCCUUUAUGAUGUGCCACACUGCUUCUUGCUGUCUAACCCCUUACUGAUGGAUUCUGGACUGGAAAGAGAGAAAACAGAAAGGAGGGAGGUCUGAGUGCUGCGUGGCAGGUACUGGCUGAGGCCAACCUGCUCCAGGACCUGAGCGAGGGGCAGAUGUGCUCACACCAAAAUGCCACUUUUGGGGCACAGUGUGCCAAACUUCACCAGCCUGUGUGGACACUAAAUCCUCUCAGACACCUCCAGGACACUGUAGAAAGAGAAUCUGUCAGCAUCUUCACCUCAACUUUCCAUGGAGAAAUUUGCCAUCUUCCCUCAAAAGUGGAAAGAGGAGAAGGAAUCAACUGUUGGCUGCUGUUCCUCAAAACCUUGGGAGGCAGGACCUCAGUGAGACUGAGCAUCUCACUCCUGGCUCAGGUGAGCAGUGGGGCAGGUAGUUUGUCACCUCUUUCCCCACAGCAGCAUGGUCUCUGCUUAAUCAUUCUGCACUCUGGUUCCAAGGUUGUUCUGAUGCAUUUAUCUUCAGCUUGUUGCUCUAAUCUUGUCUAAAGGAAACAAUAAAAUAUCCUCUAAGAUUAAUACAUGAGAUGAGAAAUCCAAUUAGAGCUCACAUCCUUCAAUCCUUAUGGGUAAGAGCCUCUAUUACAUAAUAACUAUGGGUGGGAGUAGGCCCUGUUUGAUCAAUUUGUUCCAGUCCCUGAUUGUGAAUAGUUCAGGAAACUAAAAUGGUGACAUAAUUCCCAGAUCAGAGAAGAAUUAGAGAUCUGUAGGGUAGAUACAGGUAUUUUUUGACACAGCACCAAACCAGAGAUGAACAGCACAAUGUAGAUUUGACACUUUUAUUAACAAAGAACCCAUGGGGCUCAUUCAUUAGUACAAAAUACAAUCAUGUUCCUGUAUGUUAAACAGCUUUUUUUAUUUUGUCUCUUUUAAACUGUUUCACAGUUAUCAAAACAAAGCCCCUGCAUAUUGAACUUAUUAUUGUGCAAACAGUAAUUAUUUUUAAGGAUCAAUUUCUGCACUAAGUCAAGUGCCAGAGAGCAGAACUUAAUCUUGCUUUCACCCUUCCUUUGAAGGGCCAUGUGUGCUUCCUAAGAAACACAUGAUAGUUGACUUUUUUUUGCAGCAAACAAUCUAAGGCCACAGUUUAUCUGCAAAGAAUAAAAAACAACUCAAAAGAUUUUAGGAAAUAAAAAAAAAAAAAAAAAAAAAAAAAAAAAAA